rnacentral:rRNA from 1 species
GGGCUUGACAUCCCACGAACCUGCCCGAAAAGGUGGGGUGCCCGCAAGGGAGCGUGGAGACAGGUGGUGCAUGGCUGUCGUCAGCUCGUGUCGUGAGAUGUUGGGUUAAGUCCCGCAACGAGCGCAACCCUCACCCCUAGUUGCCACCGGGUUAAGCCGAGCACUCAAGGGGAACUGCCAGCGUCAAGCUGGAGGAAGGCGGGGAUGACGUCAAGUCAUCAUGCCCCUUACGCCCUGGGCUACACACGUGCUACAAUGGCCAGCACAAAGGGACGCGAGACUGCGAAGUGGAGCUAAUCCCAAAAAGCUGGUCUAAGUUCAGAUUGCAGUCUGCAACUCGACUGCAUGAAGGAGGAAUCGCUAGUAAUCGCGUAUCAGCCCGGCGCGGUGAAUACGUUCCCGGGCCUUGUACACACCGCCCGUCACACCACGAAAGCUGUCUGUACUCGAAGUCGCUGAG